rnacentral:lncRNA from 1 species
UAGGGGGUUCAUGGUGUAGUUUUUGAAGGGGGUCGAAGUUUAGUUGAAUUAUUAUGAUUAUAUUGUAGAAUAUAUGUGUUUAAAACUAGAAUCCAAAAGAAAUAUAUGAAAUUUCUAAUUAUAGGAAAAUGAAAUAAUUUGGGAAUGCCCAAUGAUGGUUCAUUAGAUGUUUUUGUCAGUUCUCUGUAAACUAGUGAUGUUUAUUGUCCUUUUCAUAUACACUGGCGGCAAUUAUUACCACUAAUAAACGAUCUUAUCUUAUAACCACAAGAAACUAUUGUCUCCUUGCUUCCAUUGAUUCCAUUAAUCCGAAUAUUCCAUUUUCUUUAUGUUGCCAACUAUUAUUCCAAGUAUACAGAUUCGAACUCAGUUUCCACUAAAAAUUUCGCUAUUCAAAAAAAUAUUCACCGAUACUGUAACGUUUGCUGCCGUUAAGUGCAAGAACGUAUAUCAUCCAUCUAUACUAGGCCUGAGACUUAUUAUCCGAGAUCCGGAUUUGAUCCGAGAUUCGCUCCGGAUCCACUCCGAAAAUAGGAUAUCCGGAGUGUCCGAAUCAAUCCAGAUAGUCUAAUCUUGGAUCCGUCCAAACCGAAUCCGGAUCCGGAUCAGUAUUAUUAAAAAAACAUUAAAUUUUUUAAUUUCAUUAAUAUUAAUAUUUGAUAUAUUAAUAUUUAUACAUAAAUUAAUAUUAUAAUAUUAUAUUUUAGUUUUUACAAUAUUAUAGACAUAUAUAUUUAUAAAUCUUGUAUAAAUAUUUAAUUUAUGUAUUAUAUUAAAAUUUUAAGUUUUUUUUAAAUACUAUUUUUAAUUAAUUUACGGAUCCGGAUCCGGAUCCGAAUAUCUGUCGAUAAUAAAAUAUCGAGGCGGAUAUCCGAAAUCCGGAUAUCUGGAUACCUGAAUUUCCUGGAUAUCCGGAUCCGUCCAAGCCUAACCUAUACUCUAUUCAUGUGAAUCGUAUAUUUGGUCUA